rnacentral:rRNA from 1 species
UACGGAGGGUGCGAGCGUGUCCGGAAUCAUUGGGCGUAAAGGGCGCGUAGGUGGCUUCUUAAGCGUGCGGUGAAAGCCUGGGGCUCAACCCCGGGUCGGCCGUGCGAACUGGGGGGCUGGAGCACUGUAGAGGCAGGCGGAAUUCCGGGUGUAGCGGUGGAAUGCGUAGAGAUCCGGAAGAACACCGGUGGCGAAGGCGGUCUGCUGGGCCAAGACUGACGCUGAGGCGCGACAGCGUGGGGAGCAAACAGG